AUUGAACGCUGGCGGCAGGCCUAACACAUGCAAGUCGAACGGUAACAGGAAGAAGCUUGCUUCUUUGCUGACGAGUGGCGGACGGGUGAGUAAUGUCUGGGAAACUACCUGAUGGAGGGGGAUAACUACUGGAAACGGUAGCUAAUACCGCAUAACGUCGCAAGACCAAAGAGGGGGACCUUCGGGCCUCUUGCCAUCGGAUGUGCCCAGAUGGGAUUAGCUAGUAGGUGGGGUAACGGCUCACCUAGGCGACGAUCCCUAGCUGGUCUGAGAGGAUGACCAGCCACACUGGAACUGAGACACGGUCCAGACUCCUACGGGAGGCAGCAGUGGGGAAUAUUGCACAAUGGGCGCAAGCCUGAUGCAGCCAUGCCGCGUGUAUGAAGAAGGCCUUCGGGUUGUAAAGUACUUUCAGCGGGGAGGAAGGGAGUAAAGUUAAUACCUUUGCUCAUUGACGUUACCCGCAGAAGAAGCACCGGCUAACUCCGU
rnacentral:rRNA from 1 species